ACUAUCACAGAGUGCAGCCCCCCUCUUCACCCCUCGCCCCUCUUUUGUACAUGGUGAUGAAAGAAAAUGGUGUUUGGCAGUGAUGAUUAGAUUACUAAUCCCAGCUCUAUGAGACCUUCAUUUUGUAUGGAGGUCAGGGACAAUACUCUUUUCUCACGUCUCGUCUGAGCCGCUCCAUUUUUUUCUUUCUCAUCAUUAUCUUGUUUUUAAUUUUCAUCAAUUAUUUUAUUUUUCACUCUCUUUCCAUUAUUUUGAUCGCCAGUAAAAAAAUCUCCCCUUUUCAAAUGCGUUUUUAUUUUCAUUUUCAAUUUCAUUUCUGCAUUUUUAAUUUAAUUUAUACACACCAGUUAAUGCAAUUUUCCUAUCUGCGCCGCAAUUAUAUUUUCUUUUUAAUUAUAGUCAUCGGAAAUUACAUGUUGGAAGCUUUCUUCAAAUUCUUAAAUACUCCAAUAUAUGGAGACUAAAGGUAAUU